rnacentral:rRNA from 1 species
UACGUAGGGGGCGAGCGUUAAUCGGAAUUACUGGGCGUAAAGCGUACGCAGGCGGCUGCGCAAGACAGAUGUGAAAUCCCCGGGCCUAACCUGGGAACUGCAUUUGUGACUGCGCAGCUCGAGUCCGUCAGAGGGGGGUGGAAUUCCACGUGUAGCAGUGAAAUGCGUAGAGAUGUGGAGGAACACCGAUGGCGAAGGCAGCCCCCUGGGAUGAGACUGACGCUCAGGUACGAAAGCGUGGGGAGCAAACAGG